rnacentral:lncRNA from 1 species
ACGAAGAAUUACUUGUUGAGAUGCAUGUAAUAUUUUAAAUAUGUAUAUAUAAUAUGAACUGUUGCAAAGUAAGUUCAUUGCCACUGAAAAGAAAGCUACAAAUAUGGACAGGGAUAAGUGUACAUACUUUAUUCAGCUUUUGAUAGUGUUCGGUUGUUUUUGCCUAGUACUGACAGAUGCACAGCUGUUACACCCAUGCAAUAUACAAAAUUGCCAAAGUGAUGCGGACUGCCCAAGUUCUUACCGUUGUGCGUAUGCUGGAAAGACUUGCCAGUUUGGCGGAGGACUGAUGGGAGGAGAAUUUUUAGGGUGGAGAUAGCUGUUAAUUACACAGCGACGGGAUAACAAAUAAAUUAUUAUUUGAACAUGUUCAACUUCGUCACUCAACUCCACAAUAAUAGAUAUCCAAUCGCUAUAUUGUUAUGUAACCUAUAUUAAUCCAUACAAAGAUAACAAAAGAUGAACAUGGAAUUUAAUUGCUUGUCUAUAAUCCACUUGUCUAGAAUGUCAAGAAUACCGAGACAAUUUCAUAUACUUGUACAUGUUUGUUGAUUUAUUGAAAUUUCAGAGUGAAAUAUAACAUGAGACAUUACCGGUCUUUAUAUACAACCUCAUUUCUUCUUUAACAACACAAAACGGAACUAAAUAUGUAGUCUCUUAAUGCAUGUGAUCUCUAUAGACGUGGUCUCUUGAUCAAGUUGACUUUAUAAACAUCCCUCUU